rnacentral:rRNA from 1 species
GCAGUCGAACGGGAUCCAUCAGGCUUUGCUUGGUGGUGAGAGUGGCGAACGGGUGAGUAAUGCGUGACCGACCUGCCCCAUACACCGGAAUAGCUCCUGGAAACGGGUGGUAAUGCCGGAUGCUCCAGUUGAUCGCAUGGUCUUCUGGGAAAGCUUUCGCGGUAUGGGAUGGGGUCGCGUCCUAUCAGCUUGACGGCGGGGUAACGGCCCACCGUGGCUUCGACGGGUAGCCGGCCUGAGAGGGCGACCGGCCACAUUGGGACUGAGAUACGGCCCAGACUCCUACGGGAGGCAGCAGUGGGGAAUAUUGCACAAUGGGCGCAAGCCUGAUGCAGCGACGCCGCGUGAGGGAUGGAGGCCUUCGGGUUGUAAACCUCUUUUAUCGGGGAGCAAGCGAGAGUGAGUUUACCCGUUGAAUAAGCACCGGCUAACUACGUGCCAGCAGCCGCGGUAAUACGUAGGGUGCAAGCGUUAUCCGGAAUUAUUGGGCGUAAAGGGCUCGUAGGCGGUUCGUCGCGUCCGGUGUGAAAGUCCAUCGCUUAACGGUGGAUCCGCGCCGGGUACGGGCGGGCUUGAGUGCGGUAGGGGAGACUGGAAUUCCCGGUGUAACGGUGGGAAUGUGUAGAUAUCGGGAAGAACACCAAUGGCGAAGGCAGGUCUCUG